ACAUAUAAUUUUGAAACACUGGUUCUCGUACGAUCACCGACGUUAAGCAACAUUGAGAAUGGUCAGUACGUAGAUGGGUGACCACUUAGGAAUACCAGG